UGAGCAGCAUAGAGCGCCCUCUCGCGGCUGGAGACGGUAAUGUUUUCUAUUGGUUAAUUUCUCUUGGUUCAUUUCUCUCAGUUCAUGUCAAAUUAAUUUUGAUAAAUAAGUCGCACCUGACUAUAAGUCGCAGGACCAGCCAAACUAUGAAAAAAAGUGCGACUUAUAGUCCGGAAAAUACGGUAUAUAAAGUAAAUAAACUGUUGUUCAUAAGUUUUUUAGUGUUACUGUAGCUCAACUGGUAGAGUGUUGCGUUAGCAAGCAAGCUAGCGCAAUGUUGGAGGUUCGAUUCCCCGGGAACACAUGAUAGGUAAAAAUUGAUAGCCUGAAUGCACUGUAAGUCGCUUUGGAUAAAAGCGUCUGCUAAAUGCAUAAAUUUAAUUAAAUUUUUUUAAAUUUAAUUUUACAUAAACAAUGAGAAACCGUUGAGACUUUUCGCCCCUUCAUUCAAGCGUUUGGUUCACUCAUGCUCAUAUCAGAUUCAAACUGUUUCCUCAGUUCAGUGACUGUUUUUAGGAACUGAAGCACUGAAUGAUUCAUUCAUCACAGGAUCAGAUAUUUCCAGUCGGAGCGACUGUCAGGCGUCUGAAAGUGAUUUUUGAUUGAAUAACUUGUAGAUCUGUGCUGCUCGAGCCGUUGUGAACUAAAGAAUGAUUUGCUCGCCUUAGGCUCUGGACUACAGGCAAUUAUGUUGUGAAUAAUGUUUGGUUUCUUGCACAAACCGAUCACUUUGCUUCAUAAGACCUCAAUAUAUUGUCAGGAGCCACAGGUAUUAAUUUUUAAUUCUCAAAGAUGGGCUGACUGUUCUACUGAAGAAAAAUAUAAAAGCAGAUUUCCAGUGAACUGUCCCUUGAAUAUGAUAUCUAGUAUAAUAACAUUAUGGGAUCUCAGGAUGAAAUCAUUUUUAUUUCACCCAUCAGCCGCCGCUAGCAGACCAGGUUCUUCUAAGCGCUCUGUCUAAGCCUGUAUGCUGCUGUGAUGUUGAACUCUACCUCUGUAUGGACCAGGUGAAGAACAUAAAAGCUGGCAGAAAUCUGAAAUGACCAUGCAGAUGAGCAGCACUGUGUCCUAAAUGUGAGGUGCACCUGAAGUCCUCCCAGCGUGAGCGUGACGGACACGUCCAGCGGGGUGUUGACCACUCCUGCCACAGAUUUGACCAGAGACAUGAAGAGCAGCGGGAACCAAACGAUGCAGAUCAGGAGCAUCACGAUCAGGCCGCCCAUUCCAUACUUGAUGAACUUCUUCUUCUUCUGCCCGCGGGGCUGAGGCAUUUGAGGAUGAAGAUGUGAGCGUAGAUGUCCUCCACACAGAUCCAGCUAGACAAGCUGAGCGUCGUGUCCGUCCAAACCCAGUCCAUCACCGCACGCAGCUCCGUCAGGAACGGGAUCAGACGGAACCUGGGACACACAACGCAUACUAGAAUGUAUAGAAACCGACUUGGUUUGCUUUAAUUUCCUUUUACUUAUAAAAUUAGUGGUUGACCUAUAUAUCAGAUGAUCUUUGACUUUUUAAUUUUUUUUAUUAUCAGCAUUGUAGAUAGUUUUUUUGUCAGGCUUAUGUAUCAGAAGUGGGACUUUUUCUUUGAGAAUAACUGGGAUUUAAAAAAAAAUAAUAAUAAUUUAACAAUAAAUGGGACUUUUAUUUUGACAGUGAUAAGAAUGUCAGCACCUGCGCUCACAUUGUCUGUCUACAUUAGCUUUCUGUUUGUUUAACAGUUCUGUAAAUAAUAAAUGAUUAAAAAAUAACCUCAAUUAAAAAAUUUAUAUAUAUACAUUUUAUAUUUUAUAGAUUUCAUUUUUUUAAAAUUUUCCUUAUUUGUAAAAAAUAAAUAAAAAAAUACUAUAAUAGGAUUACAGAAUAAAGUUGACAUCCAAAGUAUAAAUCAGUAUAUUUUACAGAUUUUUUUUUUUCAAAUUUAAGUUCAAAUGAUUUUUUUUUUCAGAUAAUUAAUUUUCAAAUGAUUUUUUUCCAAUUUAGUAUAUAUUAUGUAAAAUAAUUAUAAAGAACCAGUCAUCCAUGUGUUUUAACUAUCUUUAUUUGAAAUAGUCUGAAAUCAUAUAUAUAUAUCAGCUGAGAUAUAUGAUGCUCUCUGAGAUAUCAGACAUGCAUCACUGCUGUUCAACAGGUUUCUCACCCGUGGAAGAGGAAGAGGUUGAC